UACGUAGGGGGCAAGCGUUGUCCGGAUUUAUUGGGCGUAAAGAGCUCGUAGGUGGUUCGGUAAGUCGGAUGUGAAAUCUCCAGGCUCAACCUGGAGACGCCACCCGAUACUGCUCUGACUUGAGUUCGGUAGGGGAGUGGGGAAUUCCUGGUGUAGCGGUGAAAUGCGCAGAUAUCAGGAGGAACACCGGUGGCGAAGGCGCCACUCUGGGCCGAAACUGACGCUGAGGAGCGAAAGCGUGGGUAGCAAACAGG
rnacentral:rRNA from 1 species